AGCGAAACCGCGAGGUCAAGCAAAUCCCAUAAAGUUGUUCUCAGUUCGGAUUGUAGUCUGCAACUCGACUACAUGAAGCUGGAAUCGCUAGUAAUCGUAGAUCAGCAUGCUACGGUGAAUACGUUCCCGGGUCUUGUACACACCGCCCGUCACACCACGAGAGUUUGUAACACCCGAAGCCGGUGGAGUAACCUUUUAGGAGCUAGCCGUCGAAGGUGGGACAAAUGAUUGGGGUGAAGUCGUAACAAGGUAGCCGUAUCGGAAGGGGCGGCUGGAUCACCUCCUUUCUAAGGA
rnacentral:rRNA from 1 species